rnacentral:siRNA from 1 species
GAGCAUGUGGAUAGCCAGAUGG